GGUAAGAUGGCCGAGUUUAGGUGGUGGAUUGUAAAUCCGUUUACAGAGGGUAGAACCUCUUCUUACCA
rnacentral:tRNA from 1 species